AGAGUUUGAUCCUGGCUCAGGAUGAACGCUAGCGGCAGGCCUAAUACAUGCAAGUCGAGGGGUAGAGGUUGCUUGCAACCUUGAGACCGGCGCACGGGUGCGUAACGCGUAUGCAACCUACCUUGAUCUGGGGGAUAGCCCGAAGAAAUUCGGAUUAACACCGCAUAAAAUCACAGUACCGCAUGGUACAAUGAUCAAAUAUUUAUAGGAUUGAGAUGGGCAUGCGUGUCAUUAGUUAGUUGGCGGGGUAACGGCCCACCAAGACCGCGAUGACUAGGGGAUCUGAGAGGAUGGCCCCCCACACUGGUACUGAGACACGGACCAGACUCCUACGGGAGGCAGCAGUAAGGAAUAUUGGUCAGUGGAGGCAACUCUGAACCAGCCAUGCCGCGUGCAGGAAGACAGCCCUCUGGGUCGUAAACUGCUUUUAUUCGGGAAUAAACCUACUUACGUGUAAGUAGCUGAAUGUACCGAAGGAAUAAGGAUCGGCUAACUCCGUGCCAGCAGCCGCGGUAAUACGGAGGAUCCAAGCGUUAUCCGGAUUUAUUGGGUUUAAAGGGUGCGUAGGCGGCCUGUUAAGUCAGGGGUGAAAGACGGUAGCUCAACUAUCGCAGUGCCCUUGAUACUGAUGGGCUUGAAUACACUAGAGGUAGGCGGAAUGUGACAAGUAGCGGUGAAAUGCAUAGAUAUGUCACAGAACACCGAUUGCGAAGGCAGCUUACUAUGGUGU
rnacentral:rRNA from 1 species